CCUACGGUGGGCAGCAGUGAGGAAUAUUGGUCAAUGGCCGGAAGGCUGAACCAGCCAAGCCGCGUGAAGGACGAAGGUGCCAAGCAUUGUCAACUUCUUGUGUCAAGGGACAAAAUCAGGCUCGAGAGCAUGACCGAGGGUACUUGAAGAAAAAGCAUCGGCUAACUCCGUGCCAGCAGUCGCGGUAAUACGGAGGAUGCGAGGGUUAUCCGGAUUUAUUGGGUUUAAAGGGGGCGGAGGCGGACUGUUAAGUCAGCGGUAAAAGCGCGGGGCUCAACCCCGGCGAGCCGUUGAAACUGGCUGUCUGGAGAUGUCGAGAGGUAUGCGGAAUGCGCAGUGUAGCGGUGAAAUGCUUAGAUAUUGCGCAGAACUCCGAUUGCGAAGGCAGCAUACCGGCGGCGAUCUGACGCUGAGGCACGAAAGCGUGGGUAUCGAACAGGAUUAGAUACCCCGGUAGUC
rnacentral:rRNA from 1 species